rnacentral:lncRNA from 1 species
AGGAGAAUGGAAUUUUGGUUCUCACGAGGACUUUAAUUCCAUUAUUCCAACCGAAGAAGAAGAACAAAGAUCUACAGCAGAGGAUGCCCAGCGAGAACUACUCCACCUACCUCGCCAAUAGCAGUUCAAAAUGACUCGCCACCAUUGUUUCUGAAUGAAAGGAGCAAGGAACGCGCAAGGAGUUUGGAAGACAUUUAUGAAGACAAUGAAAGGUUAGAGGACCUAACUCUUCUUUGUCUAUUUGCUGAUUGUGAACCAGUUACCUUUGAAGAAGCCGUACAAAGUAAGAAAUGGCGAGAUGCAAUGNNNNNN